CUCCACCCUCCCUAACUUCAUGUAAAGGCUGGCAGCCACAAGGGAAGCAUCUCUACUUAGAAAUCACCUCCUCAGAAAGGGUGAUGUGUCAGAGGAGUGCUUCCUUGUUGUGCAUUAUCCAUGGCAACAUCCCAGUGCUGCCUCAGCUGUCUUCCACUUCCUAGUGCUGUUCUUUGAUCUUUUCUUCUUGCUCAUUUUCUGUACUCUAUACCUAACUCUCUUCUUUGCCAUGGAAGUGGGUGAUUUAGUAAGUAAUUUAGCCUGUCUUCACUUAUUAUAUCUCUCACUCAUAUGGAAGCAUGCCCACACUGUGUCGGUGAGGUCUUUACUUUUGAGGUAAGGUAUGU